UAACAGGCCACUUACCGUGGUCUGGGGUUUGGGGACAGCAGCCACAAAGUAUUGACUCAUUUCAUCCUCCUAGCAAUUUUAGAAAGAAAAUGGACAUGGAGGCUCUCAGGCAGGCUGGGCUCUCUCAGAUGGUCCUGCCAAGCCUGGUCCACAUGGAAUCAGAUGGGCCUCUCUUUCAGCCCCAGCCCUGGCCCCAGCAAAAGGCUGUGGAAGCAGAUGAGACCAGGAUGUGAUGAAGAUGAUGAAGUACUUGGAGCCACUGCUCAAGAAAAAAGCUAGUUAUGCAAGAUUGGACUUACACCCUCCCCAGUCACAAAUGGAUCAUGGCAUGACGAUGAGAAGUUACAUUCUUCA